rnacentral:rRNA from 1 species
UACGUAGGUGGCAAGCGUUGUCCGGAUUUACUGGGCGUAAAGAGCGCGCAGGCGGCCAAGUCAGUCGAAUGUGAAAGCCCCCGGCUUAACUGGGGAGGGUCAUUCGAUACUGCUUGGCUCGAAGACAGGAGAGGGAAGCGGAAUUCCCGGUGGUAGUGGUGAAAUGGCGUAGAUAUCGGGAGGAACACCAGUGGCGAAGGCGGCUUUCUGGCCUGGUUCUUGAC